GACGAACGCUGGCGGCGUGCCUAAUACAUGCAAGUAGAACGCUGAAGAGAGGAGCUUGCUCUUCUUGGAUGAGUUGCGAACGGGUGAGUAACGCGUAGGUAACCUGCCUUGUAGCGGGGGAUAACUAUUGGAAACGAUAGCUAAUACCGCAUAACAAUGGAUGACACAUGUCAUUUAUUUGAAAGGGGCAAUUGCUCCACUACAAGAUGGACCUGCGUUGUAUUAGCUAGUAGGUGAGGUAAUGGCUCACCUAGGCGACGAUACAUAGCCGACCUGAGAGGGUGAUCGGCCACACUGGGAAUGAGACGCGGCCCAGACUCCUACGGGAGGCAGCAGUAGGGAAUCUUCGGCAAUGGGGGCAACCCUGACCGAGCAACGCCGCGUGAGUGAAGAAGGGUUUCGGAUCGUAAAGCUCUGUUGUAAGUCAAGAACGGGUGUGAGAGUGGAAAGUUCACACUGUGACGGUAGCUUACCAGAAAGGGACGGCUAACUACGUG
rnacentral:rRNA from 1 species